AAAUUGAAGAGUUUGAUCAUGGCUCAGAUUGAACGCUGGCGGCAGGCCUAACACAUGCAAGUCGAACGGUAACAGGAAACAGCUUGCUGUUUCGCUGACGAGUGGCGGACGGGUGAGUAAUGUCUGGGAAACUGCCUGAUGGAGGGGGAUAACUACUGGAAACGGUAGCUAAUACCGCAUAACGUCGCAAGACCAAAGAGGGGGACCUUAGGGCCUCUUGCCAUCGGAUGUGCCCAGAUGGGAUUAGCUAGUAGGUGG
rnacentral:rRNA from 1 species